GAUGAACGCUGGCGGCGUGCCUAAUACAUGCAAGUCGAGCGAAUGGAUUAAGAGCUUGCUCUUAUGAAGUUAGCGGCGGACGGGUGAGUAACACGUGGGUAACCUGCCCAUAAGACUGGGAUAACUCCGGGAAACCGGGGCUAAUACCGGAUAACAUUUUGAACCGCAUGGUUCGAAAUUGAAAGGCGGCUUCGGCUGUCACUUAUGGAUGGACCCGCGUCGCAUUAGGUAGUUGGUGAGGUAACGGCUCACAAAGGCAACUAUGCGUAGCCGGACUGAAGUGGUGAGGGGCCACACUAGGAGUGAGACACGGCCCAGACUCCUACGGGAGGCAGCAGUAGGGACUCAUCAGUAAUGGACGAAAGUCAGACGGAGCAACGCCGCGUUAGUGAUGAAGGCUUUCGGGUCGUAAAAAUCUGUUGUUAGGGAAGAAAAAGUACUAGUUAAAUAAGCUGGCACCUUGGCGGUACCUAACCAGAAAGCCACGGCUAACUACGUGCCAGCCGCCGCGGUAA
rnacentral:rRNA from 1 species